rnacentral:rRNA from 1 species
UACGUAGGGUGCGAGCGUUGCCCGGAUUUACUGGGCGUAAAGGGCGCGUAGGCGGCCAGCGCAAGUCAGUUGUGAAAUCUCCGGGCUUAACUCGGAAAGGUCAACUGAUACUGCGCGGCUAGAGUGCGGAAGGGCAACUGGAAUUCUCGGUGUAGCGGUGAAAUGCGUAGAUAUCGAGAGGAACACCUGCGGCGAAGGCGGGUUGCUGGGCUGACACGUGACGCUGAGGCGCGAAAGCCAGGGAGCGAACGGG